AUUGAACGCUGGCGGCACGCUUAACACAUGCAAGUCGAGCGGAAACGAAGGGAGCUUGCUCCCAGGCGUCGAGCGGCGGACGGGUGAGUAAUGCGUAGGAAUUUGCCCUAGAGCGGGGGAUAACUUUAGGAAACUGAAGCUAAUACCGCAUAGUGUCUACGGACUAAAGGUGCCUUCGGGUGCCACUCUAGGAGAAGCCUACGUCAGAUUAGCUAGUUGGUAGGGUAAAGGCCUACCAAGGCGACGAUCUGUAGCUGGUCUGAGAGGACGAACAGCCACACUGGGACUGAGACACGGCCCAGACUCCUACGGGAGGCAGCAGUGGGGAAUAUUGGACAAUGGGGGCAACCCUGAUCCAGCGAUGCCGCGUGUGUGAAGAAGGCCUUAGGGUUGUAAAGCACUUUCAGUAGAGAGAAAGGUGUUAGGUUAAGAGCUAAACACUGUGACGUUACCUACAGAAGAAGCACCGGCUAACUCUGUGCCAGCAGCCGCGGUUAAAG
rnacentral:rRNA from 1 species